AGGAAGCCAAAGUAUCUGAUGCACUGGAGAAUGAACACCCAUUCAAAAUCAGAAGUACAGAGAAGUUUUCUGUAAAAUGGAAAUGAGUAUCAUGAAGUUUUAAAUGAACAGUGUAAAACAGAAGACAUCAGCAUUCAUUAGGUCCCAGACCUCUUCGAGAAUCUGAUGAAAUUCUGGACAACCUCUCACUCCCACAAACAAGAUGUACUUGAAUACCUACACAUAAAAUGUUGCAUUCAAUUUUAGAAUGUGAAGAGAUCACUUGAAGCCUAUCCAGAGGCCUCUAAGGACGUGACUGGUGCGGUAUUGGUGGCUGCUGGGUCAGAUGAGCUCCCUGCUACUCCAAGAAACAAUAAAUGUUUGCAGCCACUAAGAUUUGGGGGGACUUUUGUUAUUACUGCCUAUCCUGACAGAUCCAGGUGCUACGACUAUUUAAGGGGUGACAGGAUCUCACUCGGGCACCUAGAUGGGAGUGCAGUGGCAUGAACUCCUGGGCUCAGAUGUCCUCCCACCUCAACCUUCUGAGUAGCUGGAAUUACAGGAAUGAACCACCACGCUCAGAUUUCAAGCUCCCUGAAGAUGAAGGCUGAAUCCUACACCUUGCUUGUAUCCUCCAUGGCUCAUUGAACAAGUGCUAGCUACAUGGAGACUGCUCAAUAAAUAUUGAAUAAUUCA
rnacentral:lncRNA from 1 species